rnacentral:rRNA from 1 species
UAGGGAAUCUUCGGCAAUGGACGAAAGUCUGACCGAGCAACGCCGCGUGAGUGAAGAAGGUUUUCGGAUCGUAAAACUCUGUUGUUAGAGAAGAACAAGGAUGAGAGUAGAAUGUUCAUCCCUUGACGGUAUCUAACCAGAAAGCCACGGCUAACUACGUGCCAGCAGCCGCGGUAAUACGUAGGUGGCAAGCGUUGUCCGGAUUUAUUGGGCGUAAAGCGAGCGCAGGCGGUUUCUUAAGUCUGAUGUGAAAGCCCCCGGCUCAACCGGGGAGGGUCAUUGGAAACUGGGAAACUUGAGUGCAGAAGAGGAGAGUGGAAUUCCAUGUGUAGCGGUGAAAUGCGUAGAUAUAUGGAGGAACACCGGUGGCGAAGGCGGCUCUCUGGUCUGUAACUGACGCUGAGGCUCGAAAGCGUGGGGAGCAAACAGG